AUUAGAGUUUGAUCCUGGCUCAGGAUGAACGCUAGCUACAGGCUUAACACAUGCAAGCCGAGGGGCAGCAUUGGAGUAGCAAUACUUCAGAUGGCGACCGGCGCACGGGUGAGUAACACGUAUCCAACCUGCCGCUUACUCGGGGAUAGCCUUUCGAAAGAAAGAUUAAUACCCGAUGGUAUAAAGAGUUCGCAUGUUCUCUUUAUUAAAGAAUUUCGGUAAGCGAUGGGGAUGCGUUCCAUUAGAUUGUUGGCGGGGUAACGGCCCACCAAGUCUACGAUGGAUAGGGGUUCUGAGAGGAAGGUCCCCCACAUUGGAACUGAGACACGGUCCAAACUCCUACGGGAGGCAGCAGUGAGGAAUAUUGGUCAAUGGACGAGAGUCUGAACCAGCCAAGUAGCGUGAAGGAUGACUGCCCUAUGGGUUGUAAACUUCUUUUAUAAGGGAAUAAAGUGAGGGACGUGUCCCUUUUUGUAUGUACCUUAUGAAUAAGGAUCGGCUAACUCCGUGCCAGCAGCCGCGGUAAUAAU
rnacentral:rRNA from 1 species